AGUGUGCCUCCUGAUUUUCUUAAAUAGACAGACAAAUACUUAUCUCUGACAUUUUUGUCACUAGCCUGAGAAAAAAAGUGUUUAUGGCCAGGCUCACACCUGUAAUCCCAGCACUUUGGGAGGCCGAGGUGGGUGGAUUACUAGGAGUUCAAGACCAGACUGGCCAACAUGGAGAAAGCCCAUCUUUACUAAAAAUACAAAAAUUAGCUGGGUGUGAUGGCGCGUACCUGUAAUCCCAGCUACUCGGGAGGCUGAGGCAGGAGAAUCGCUUGAGCCCAGGAGGCUGACAUUGCAGUGAGCCGAGAUCACGCCACUGCACUCCAGCCUGGGGGACAGAGCAAGACUCUGUCUCAAACAAAAAAAAAAAAAAAAGGAAAAGAUAAGAAAAACAAGUGUUUAUAUGAAGUAUUUUCUCAGAAAAAGAGUAACCCAAAUACUUUUCAAGUCCAUGUGGCUUGAUUAAUCUUUAAUAAAUAAGAAUAUUGGUGAUUUAGUAAAAAUGGAUAUUCUACCUAGCUUUGUUAAUCAAAUAAACUCAUAUUAUCUCUGUUACAAAAUUUGUCAGCAAGAAAAUUUUGUAUAUAUAUAUAUGUUUUUUUUAGUAGAGAUGGGGUUUCUCCAUGUUCGCCAGGCCGGUCUCGAACUCCCGACCUCAGGUGAUCUGCCUGACCUCCGCCUCCCAAAGUGCUGGGAUUACAGACGUGAGCCACCGCGCCCGGUCUUUUUUUAACUGACAUCUUCAUUCCAUCAUCUGAAGAGGCUGCAAUCUCUGGGCUCAAAAACUAAGAUCAUAGUCACUGGUAGUCAAAAAAAAAAAAAACGAACAAGGCUAAGGUCAUAAUUUACUCCAAAGAUUAACCUUUGUUAAAUUAUUUUGUUUCCAUAGAACAAUACUUUGAAUUCCCCAUCAUGCAAUGCAAUCUGAAAUGAACAACUUAGCCUCAACAGUGUUCCAAACUAGAAGCUCUUGAUACCUUAGGAGCUUAACAAAUAAGAGCUUGUGUUCUUGAUAAGAAAAUUUCCUUAUCAAUACGUUAGAAAUUGUUUUCCAAAAUUUAAAGACUCUUAAGAAACAAAUGUAAGUCUCUCAUGAGAUAGACGACGCCGUUGGUUGAUUUAAUGGGUUAAAUCUUGGCUCCUGGGGAUCUCAGCUGCAGGGAGUUGCUGAGUCCUUGGUGGUUUUUCUUACAGUCAUUGUGUUUACCCAGUUCCUUCAUUGUAUCCUCUCAAGGGUUUCAACACUUUCCAGCAGCCACUCUCACAUCAAAUGAUUGCCAUCAGGAUUAAACAACUUACAGAAUUCAACACCCCACCACCCAGGUCUAUGAUGGUGAUCACCUGUACACGACUCUGCACUCCAGUGACUACGUCACUCAGUGGUAACAGAGAGCAAAGCUCUACCAUCUGGUCAUCCUCUCAGCUUGCCCAGUGGGGAUUUGUUGAAGUAAAUUUUUUUUUUUUUUUGUGACGGAGUCUCGCUCUGUCACCCAGGCUGGAGUGCAGUAGUGCGAUCUCAGCUCACUGCAACCUCUGCCUCCUGGGUUCAGCAAUUCUCCUGCCUCAGCUUCCCGAGUAGCUGGGAUUACAGGGCCAUCUUGCUGGCUUGCCACAGGUUAUGUGAUAAUGACUGGGCAUCAUUCAUGGGAAACUGCACUGCGUAAGCAGGCCUGGCUAGGCCCACAGUAGGCCCCGGGCACAUUUUCAGCUGCGAAGCGGAGGACUAGCAACCGGUGAGGUAGAAGGAGAACCAAGAGAUGGUGGGAGAAUGGGAACUGAGCUGAGAGAGCUUCCGGAAGGUUGCGGUGGCCUAGGGCGAUCCACGUCAUUGAGAAACGGCGUUAGGCUGAUUUCACGGGGCAGAUGACAUGGAAGUGCUGCUGAGGAAGACGCUGAGCUCCGAGGUGAAAAGGGAUGAGGACGCCUAAGAAGACACGAGCGCAAUACCUAAUACAAUUUCCUGAAAUUGUUUCAUGUCACACGUUAAAAUAAUAUGAAACACGUUAAAUAAUAAAAUGGUAUGAAGGUUUUGUCUGAA